rnacentral:lncRNA from 1 species
CCCGCAGCCCCACCGCCACAACACUGCGGGAGGGUCGGACCUGCGCUAAUUAUCUGGAGUCUCUAAAAACCAGGAGUAAAAAAGAAAGUCUACAUAUACAAACAGGAAGUGGUUUCGGUUUAUUUACAUCUAUUGUAUACGUAUGGUGGAAAUACUAUAUAAUGUUAUGCUACUUAGCAUCUCUUCCCAACUCCAUGUUCAACGAUGGACAUCUCAUCCAGCUUAAAUCAGACGUGGCGGAAGUACGGUAACACCACGGAAAUUAGCAAACGCUGCAAAUCAGGCCCCACUCCCAGGACGAGUUGUUAAACAUUUACCAGGACGUGUGUCUGCGGAAGCCACCGUGUAGGAACAGAGAACCAGCACCAGUGGCCCGGCUAGAGGUGGACCCCCAGUUACCAAGGGAGACGGGGCAGGAAACAGAGCCACCCUGCCUGAAAGAAGCCGCGGGUCCCCAGCGCCUUGUCAAUGCCUGCCCUCUAGUGGUGGGAGUGAGAAUGCAGGCC